GAGCGCCUGGGGCGGGAAUCACCGGGCUGCCGGCCUCACCCCCUCUUGAGCCGGGUGGCCGUCGGGGCAGCCUGAGGAGACCAGGCUGCCCGUCCCUAGCGCUGCUUGGGGCCGGGCGGGGAGGGUUGUGUUGUGGCGCACAGUUGCUGUGGCCCGCCGGAGAGGGACUCUCAGGUCGCUGGUUUCCCAGGCGCUAGAAGGGACGAAGAGGUGCCUGGUGUUUUCUCUCCAAGGAGAGAAGCCUGGAGCAGAGAGGCCCCUUUACCGUGACAUCACCGGCAAACUCAAAGAGAUGUCCCGGUUUUCUGAUCACUUCAAAAACACUUGAACCAGGAGGGACAAGAGCGUGGCUGCAGAAGAGGUCUGGACUGAGAGGUGACUUGGGUGGAGGACUUGGCCACAGUAACAGCAAACCAUUGAGGAACCAGGAACAAUAAGGAGGGCUGGAGUGGAAGAGUCACUGCAACCUGACAUAAGGUGUACCCUGGGGAGACUGCUAUGGUUGGAAUGAAGGGUUCUCUACCCAUCAGUAUGACUGUGACUCCCACUAUAUUAGGGGAGGGAUGCAAGGCCCAAAAUUCAGACCCAGAAUCAUCUCUUCUGCAGACUAUACUUUAUCUCUUGUGGUGUUUUCCCUUAGCCUAAAGAGGAGUCAGGAAGUCCUUGUGUUCCUUGAGAAGCAAUCAGAAUCUGACAGGGACAAGAACCUGAGUUACUGUGUCCGGUGGCCCCAUCGUUGCUUUGUGGCUCCCUGCAAUUGCAUGGGUUGCAGCUGCCUAAUACCACUGCUGCUUAUGGAAGAAGACUGAAAGAGCUUGGCUUGGUUAGCCUAGCAAAACGAAGGGUGCCCAAAGGAGAGCUGAGCUCAUCGGAGGAUAAGAUUUCAGUUGUGGGUGCUGUGCAUUGGAAAAUCAAUAAUGAAGAGCCCGUAAUGAUCCAAGUCAACAUCCCCUACCUGUUGCUAUGCUGUAUUUGCAACCACUUCUCAAGCCCAUGGGAGAUGCACCUGCACAGCAGCCACAGAACUGAGGACUAUCUAAUUGCAAUCAAGAGAUUCAUUCCCACAGCAGGGAGAGCGUAAGAAAAGGCAGAAUGGUACCCUCCAGAUGACAGCCUGAUCAGUUAAUUUCAACCUCAACUUAAAACGCAUCGUUUCAUGUGUGAUUCCUCACAAUCCUCAGUCCAUCAUUUGCAGAGCCCUGAAGAGAGCAAGAGAGCAUGUGCCCUCAGCCCCAACCACUCCCAGUAGACCAAAUGCAUUAUCCUCUCCAGUGCCCCAUCUGAACCGCGGCUAGGAAAAAAAAGCACCAGAAUCAGUUAACUUCCCUCCCCCCCCUUAAUAAAACAUAAAAGCAGCAACAAAAGAAGGCUGCAGAGAGCAGCAGGAAGAUCACUGAGAACAGAAAGCAGCUGAACUUAACACACACAAAUGGAGGUUUGUUCUCAUUCCUGCCAUGCAGUUUUCUGUAACGUUGAGAUGGAAGAUAAAUGGUUUGGCUGCAUCAGCCAUUUGGAAUUGGACAACUAAUGCUCUGCGAUCACUUGGAUUUUUUUCUUUUUAAAAAUAGCCAAUUUUGAAUUAUAAUUAUUAAAAGCAAACAGUAUUAACCUGCCUGUCAUGCAAACAGAUAAAACGCAGCGCACGCGCUGUAUGGAGAAGGAUUAAUAAGAGUGACAGCGAAAUGGAAUCACACUGAUCUAAAGGAUGCACCUACGAAUACACGCUACAAAUGAAUGGGGAAAUGAAACCCGAGCCCAGCUGGCACGGGGCGAAGAGGUAGAGCUUGACAAAUCUCUCACUGGCAGGGGAGUGGGCUAGAUGACUGACUCGAGCUUUUCUGGCUCUCACUGUGUUCUGUUAGUCUAGGCACAGAUUCUGCCCCACUAGGUCCCUCCACAGUGAUGGGUGCAAUAGAGGAACUGGAGCAGAACCGAUUUGACUGCCAUUUACUGAGAUCUGUGGUGGACCCGUGUGGAGGGGGAAAGGGACAAAAAGGGAUGUUCCUUUAUCCACCCUCCCAAACAUCUGUUUCCCCCGGCCCCACUCCUGCAGGGGGCACCAUGCACCAUGCCAUGGGAAACAGCACGCU